AUUGAACGCUGGCGGCAUGCCUAACACAUGCAAGUCGAGCGGAUGAACGCGGCUUUCUCCUGGCUUCAGCGGCGGACGGGUGAGUAAUUCCCAGGAAUCUGCCUUGUAUUGGGGGAUUACGUCCGUACACGGGCGCUAAUACCACAUCCGUCCUGAGUUUGAAACUGGUGGUUCUUCGGACCUCACGCUAUUAGCUGAGCCUAGGUCGUAUUAGCUAGUUGGUUUGGUAAAUGCCUACCAAGGCGACGAUCCGUAACUGGUCUGAGAGGAUGAUCAGUCACACUGGAACUGAGACACGGUCCAGACUCCUACGGGAGGCAGCAGUGGGGAAUAUUGCACAAUGGGCGAAAGCCUGAUCCAGCCAUGCCGCGUGUGUGAAGAAGGUCUUCGGAUUGUAAAGCACUUUAAGUUGGGAGGAAGAGCAGUAAGUUAAUACCUUGCUGUUUUGACGUUACCAACAGAAUAAGCACCGGCUAACUUCGUG
rnacentral:rRNA from 1 species